rnacentral:rRNA from 1 species
ACUGAUAGUUUUAUUAAAGGGCCGCAGUAUUCUAACUGUGCAAAGGUAGCAUAAUCGUUAGUUCUUUAAUUGGGAUCUUGUAUGAAUGAUUAGACAAAAGUAUUACUGUCUUUAUAAUAAAAAUUGAAUUUAACUUUUAAGUGAAAAGGCUUAAAUUAUUUAGAGUGACGAUAAGACCCUAUAAAGCUUAAUAUUUUAUAAAAAUGUAAAUGAUAUAUAAUUAUAAAAUUUUAAAUAUUAUAAGUAUUUUAUUGGGGUGAUAGAAGUAAAAUUAAAAUAACUGCUUUGUGUUAAAACAAUUAUAAGUGAUUGGAUGUAAAUGAUCCUAUAAUAUGGAGUAUAAGAUUAAGUUACUUUAGGGAUAACAGCGUAAUUUUUUUUAAGAGUUCUUAUCGAAAAAAAAGAUUGCGACCUCGAUGUUGAAUUAAAAUAUCUAUAUAAUUGUAGGAGUUAUAUUAGAGGGUCUGUUCGACCUUUAAAUUUUUACAC